rnacentral:tRNA from 1 species
GCAUUGGUGGUUCAUUUGGUAGAGUUUUUGCUUUCCAUGUGGGAGACCUGAGUUCGAUUCUCAGCCAAUGCA